UACGGAGGGGGCUAGCGUUGUUCGGAAUUACUGGGCGUACAGCGAACGUAGGCGGCUGGGUAAGUCCGGGGUGAAAUCCCGGGGCUCAACCCCGGAACUGCGUAGGGAACUGGACAGCUAGAAGAUUGGAGAGGCGAGUGGAAUUCCCAGUGUAGCGGUGAAAUGCGUAGAUAUUGGGAGGAACGCCGGUGGCGAAGGCGGCUCGCUGGACCAGUUCUGACGCUGAGGCGCGAAAGCGUGGGGAGCAAACAGG
rnacentral:rRNA from 1 species